GGAAACCGGGGCUAAUACCGGAUAAUACAUGAAACCGCAUGGUUUCAUGAUGAAAGACGGUUUUGCUGUCACUUAUAGAUGGACCCGCGGCGUAUUAGCUAGUUGGUAAGGUAACGGCUUACCAAGGCAACGAUACGUAGCCGACCUGAGAGGGUGAUCGGCCACACUGGAACUGAGACGCGGUCCAG
rnacentral:rRNA from 1 species